AUGCAAGUCGAGCGGUAACAGAGAUAGCUUGCUAUCUGCUGACGAGCGGCGGACGGGUGAGUAACGCGUAGGAAACUACCCGGUAGUGGGGGACAACCGUUGGAAACGACGGCUAAUACCGCAUACGCUCUACGGAGGAAAGGAGGCUUCGGCUCUCGCUAUCGGAUGUGCCUGCGUGAGAUUAGCUAGUUGGUGGGGUAAAGACCUACCAAGGCGACGAUCUCUAGCUGGUCUGAGAGGAUGAUCAGCCACACUGGGACUGAGACACGGCCCAGACUCCUACGGGAGGAAGCAGUGGGGAAUAUUGGACAAUGGGCGCAAGCCUGAUCCAGC
rnacentral:rRNA from 1 species